GAUGAAGAACGUAGUGAAAUGCGAUAAGUAAUGUGAAUUGCAGAAUUCAGUGAAUCAUCGAAUCUUUGAACGCACAUUGCGCCCCUUGGUAUUCCGAGGGGCAUGCCUGUUCGAGCGUCAUUAUAACCCCUCAAGCUCAGCUUGGUAUUGGGGCCUGCCGCACGGGCAGCCCUUAAAAUCAGUGGCGGUGCCAUCUGGCUCUAAGCGUAGUAAUUCUUCUCGCUAUAGAGUCCCGGUGGAUGCUUGCCAUUAACCCCCAAUUUUCUAUGGUUGACCUCGGAUCAGGUAGGGAUACCCGCUGAACUUAAGCAUAUCAAUAAGCGGAGGA
rnacentral:misc_RNA from 1 species